rnacentral:rRNA from 1 species
AUCCUGGCUCAAGACGACCUUUGGCGGCGCGCCUAACACAUGCAAGUCAAACGAGAGAUGAGGAGCUUGCUCUUCACAUCGAGUGGAGAACGGGUGAAUAACGCGUGAGGAACCUGCCUCAAAGAGGGGGACAACAGUUGGAAACGACUGCUAAUACCGCAUAAGCCCACGGCUCGGCAUCGAGCAGAGGGAAAAGGAGCAAUCCGCUUUGAGAUGGCCUCGCCUCCGAUUAACUAGUUGGUGAGGUAAUGGCCCACCAAGGCGACGAUCGGUAGCCGGACUGAGAGGUUGAACGGCCACAUUGGGACUGAGACACGGCCCAGACUCCUACGGGAGGCAGCAGUAGGGAAUAUUGCACAAUGGGGGAAACCCUGAUGCGGCGACGCCGCGUGGAGGAAGAAGGUCUUCGGAUUGUAAACUCCUGUUGUUGAGGAAGAUAAUGACGGUACUCAACAAGGAAGUGACGGCUAACUACGUGCCAGCAGCCGCGGUAAAACGUAGGUCACAAGCGUUGUCCGGAAUUACUGGGUGUAAAGGGAGCGCAGGCGGGAGAACAAGUUGGAAGUGAAAUCCAUGGGCUCAACCCAUGAACUGCUUUCAAAACUGUUUUUCUUGAGUAGUGCAGAGGUAGGCGGAAUUCCCGGUGUAGCGGUGGAAUGCGUAGAUAUCGGGAGGAACACCAGUGGCGAAGGCGGCCUACUGGGCACCAACUGACGCUGAGGCUCGAAAGUGUGGGUAGCAAACAGGAUUAGAUACCCUGGUAGUCCACACCGUAAACGAUGA